ACCAACUUAGGGAAUUUACCAGGAGUCUUAACAUCCACCCGGACUCUGGAUGGAAGAAUAGAUGCUCUUGAGAAAUUGUAAACCCAAGCCACUGUCAUAUGUCAGUGUGGAGUUUGAAUUUAUAAUAUCCAGGUGGUACAGCAUAAGAACCAAUCUGAACCAGCAAAAUCGCUAAGGUCCUAGAAAAGUCAUAUGUGAAAUGGCACGAAAGAUAAUCACUGCUGAAGAUGAGACCAGGAUGAAAACUUACAAACUACAUUAGGAACCAAAGCACCAUGAGGGUGAGUUAACAGAGAUAAUAAAUGGGAGCAUUUGUAUCUAUAAUACAAAGCUAUCAAUAAUAGAACAUUCUGGAAAGACUAUAAAAUGUGUGUGUUUAAAAUAUUUAAAGAGAUAAAAGGUUAAGAAAGGGACACAGUUUUUAGUAUUUAGAAUAAGGAUGUCUGAAAAAGUGGACUUUUUAAAAAUGAAAAAUAUAGGUCAUUGAAACCAAAAACUUAAUAAACUGGUUAGAUGAUAGAAAAGCUGCAAAUGAAGAGAAAAUUAGUGAUAUGAAAUGUGGAACUAAGGAAAUCGCCCAAAAUGAAACAUAGUUAAGUGAAGAAAAAUAUGUUGUGGAAGGGGAUUAAGAGACAUGAAAUAUAGAAUGAGAAAGUCCAACAUGGUUUUAAUAGAGAUUCUAAAAGAGAGUCUAAAGAAAAUUUAGAAAUGGGAAUGUUUAAAGGGAUCCUGGCUUUGAAAUUUGGAAAAAAGAUAAAUGAGUUCUUGGAUUAAAGGAGUAUAUUGAGUCACAUGCAAGAUAAAUAAAAACAGCUACACACGUAGACACAUGAGCAUAAUGAAGCUGCAGAAGGAACAUAGAGCAAAACAAAACACAAAAAUGUUAAAAGCUAUGUUUGUUAAAUAUUAAAAGUGUGAAAAAGUAUGAAUACAAACACGUUUCUUAUACAGCAAUGUCAGACUGAAACAAGACCUCUUAUUAGCCACCAAAUGUUUCAGAACACGGUGGAAAUAAUCUUCAAAGUGCAAAGGAAGAACAAUCAUUGGUGUAUAAAUUUAUACCCAGCUGAACUAUUAUUCAAGAGAGAUGGCAAAAUAAUGACAUUUUCAAACGAAGACAGAGUUUAUCAUCAUAAACUCUUACUGGAGGGACUACUGAAGGAUGUGCUUCAAGAAGUGAAUUAAGCCCAGACAGAAGGAGGUGCCUUGCAAGAAGCAAUAUGAGCAAAAAUAAAAUAUAUACAUAAGCCCAUUGCUAUAUCUAAAUAAUCAUCAUACAAAAUUUUUAAAGUAAUUUUAGAGGUUUAAAAAUAAAAUAAAGCUAAAAUACUAAGACACAAUAGGAAUUUAGGAAGAACAGUUAAAAUGUUCUAAAGUCUUCCUUUUUGGGGAUAAGAAGUUAGAGAUACUGGUUAACUUUAUAGUCAUUAAAGUAAGUAUUUACGUUAAAAUUUUUAAGGGUUCCUACAAGAAGAAUGGAAAUAAAGUGGAAAACUUCCAAACCAAACAAAAGAAGAUACAGUCAAAUUGGUAGAAUGCUUAAAAAGAAGCGAUCGAAAGAAAACACAAAGUAAAAUGGUAGAAAUAAUUUCAUCAGUAUCAGUAAUCAUGACGACUCUAACUGGAUGAAACUUAAAAUUUCUGAACACGCAUACGCUAGACACUAGGCAUUGUUCAGUUGCAGACUCGUGGGACAAAAAAAGCAAUGAUAACAAUGGGCUAAAGGGAACACAGAGUUCUAUCUAGUAAAAGGAGGGGCACCCCCCUUUCAGUCUGUAGCGAGAAGGUUGGGGAAGACUUCCUGAAGAUGGCGACCCUUCAGCUGCAUCCUGGAGGAUGAGUAAGAAGCAGAAGGGAUAGGAAGGGUGUGCCAGGGAAAGGUGCAAAGUCAUGGAAGUGUGAGAGAACAAGGAAUGCUCUGGUCCAACCUUCUUUUGUUAUGGAUGAGGAACCUGAACUUCAGAACAGAUAUGUUGACUCACAGAACAACCUACCUUUCACCUUACUUGUCUUUCUAGAAAAAGCCCAGUUCUUCAGAGCCCAAGAACUGCAACUGCUGAAGCUCGUGUGCUCCAGGCUCUGCAACAAGAGAAGCCACCGAAAUGAGAAGCCUGCAGAUCGCAACUAGAGAGUAGCCCCUGCUCACAGAAACUGGAGGAAAGCUCACAUAACAACGAAGACCCAGAG
ensembl:lncRNA